CGAAUCGGAGCUAUGUCAGUGGAGGCCUCACAGUAUCUCACGCCAGUAUUGCGUACAUGUUGACAUUCUUUGCGAGAAGCCGUUUACAGUUUUCUACUUUCGUCGAUUUUUUAAUAUUCUCUGUUUCUGGCGGUGAGUGAAAGAGUGGGUCUUUUUCUUAACAGGGCGUUGGUGAUCCAGCGUCAGUGCAACCACUAGGCCAACCCAAACCACAUAACUGUCUUUGUAGCAUUAUCCCACUGUGAGAAUGUUCCUGAAUACUUAUUACCAGAUUAUUAACCAACCCUUGUCCCAUAGCUGUCUGCCCACGUUUUAUCGAAACAUUGCUGUGCAGACGAAGUAGCCCAUUUAUUUAUGCGACCCUUGUCCAAAGUCUACGUCAAAGGAGAAAAAGUGGUGGAAGUUACGUGACGUUAGCAGCUGAUUUAUGCGUCCUUCGAUGACAUAGGGCUCGCUUCAGGCUGAGAAAAGCGAAAGCAAAGAGAGCGGACGCCAUAAA